ensembl:lncRNA
GAUGUUUGUCCAUUUAUUGACAUAUUUUCUUAAGUGCUUAUCCAGUUCAGGAUCACAGUGGAGCUGCAGCUGGAUGUGUUCAGUAAAGAAACCUUACAAAAGUUAACAUAAACCUGCAUCUCUGAGGCGCUAAAAGGUUUCCCUAAUAGUUCCUGGUGAAUCAAAGCAGAACCAUAAAGGUUGCUGGACUGCAUGAUGGCCUUACCCCUGAGCAGUCAUCCUGUUAAAGGAGGAACCAGUUAGAAGCUGUUUUCAAAGUAGCUGAGCAGAUUUCAUCUCAAAUCAAAGCAGCUCGUGCUCUGUCUGCUUCCAUUCUGAUGGCAAGAAGAAGAAGAAGGAGAAGAAUGCUUCAGCGAAGUGGCGUUCAUGGUCUCAGUGGACAGUCAUGGUCACACACUGCAUGUGGUUUUAAAAGCAACAUUGUUCACCACAACAAUGGAGAUGUGUAAUAUUAGUGCAGCUACGGUUUGUUCUUGAACAUCAGUUCUGUUUUCUACUUUGAUCACUUAGACCAAAAAAAGUGUUGUUUUCAGAUUCUUUCUUUUAAAUCUAUAAAGCACCUGUUCAUUUUUUAUUACAAUUAGUUUCACAUAAAUGUUAGUGUUUCCUUUAUGAUCUUUUAAUGCUUACACUACACUGUACACGUCUACAUUAGAGACAUUUCUGUUACCUAUGUAUGAGACUGGGCUGCUUGACUACAAUUUGGAAAUGGAUGCAAAAUCACACGGAUCGUGCUAUUGUUUGUUUUUUAA